AGAGUUUGAUCCUGGCUCAGGACGAACGCUGGCGGCGUGCCUAAUACAUGCAAGUCGAGCGGACAGAUGGGAGCUUGCUCCCUGAUGUUAGCGGCGGACGGGUGAGUAACACGUGGGUAACCUGCCUGUAAGACUGGGAUAACUCCGGGAAACCGGGGCUAAUACCGGAUGGUUGUUUGAACCGCAUGGUUCAAACAUAAAAGGUGGCUUCGGCUACCACUUGCAGAUGGACCCGCGGCGCAUUAGCUAGUUGGUGAGGUAAUGGCUCACCAAGGCAACGAUGCGUAGCCGACCUGAGAGGGUGAUCGGCCACACUGGGACUGAGACACGGCCCAGACUCCUACGGGAGGCAGCAGUAGGGAAUCUUCCGCAAUGGACGAAAGUCUGACGGAGCAACGCCGCGUGAGUGAUGAAGGUUUUCGGAUCGUAAAGCUCUGUUGUUAGGGAAGAACAAGUGCCGUUCGAAUAGGGCGGUACCUUGACGGUACCUAACCAGAAAGCCACGGCUAACUACGUGCCAGCAGCCGCGGUAAUACGUAGGUGGCAAGCGUUGUCCGGAAUUAUUGGGCGUAAAGGGCUCGCAGGCGGUUUCUUAAGUCUGAUGUGAAAGCCCCCGGCUCAACCGGGGAGGGUCAUUGGAAACUGGGGAACUUGAGUGCAGAAGAGGAGAGUGGAAUUCCACGUGUAGCGGUGAAAUGCGUAGAGAUGUGGAGGAACACCAGUGGCGAAGGCGACUCUCUGGUCUGUAACUGACGCUGAGGAGCGAAAGCGUGGGGAGCGAACAGGAUUAGAUACCCUGGUAGUCCACGCCGUAAACGAUGAGUGCUAAGUGUUAGGGGGUUUCCGCCCCUUAGUGCUGCAGCUAACGCAUUAAGCACUCCGCCUGGGGAGUACGGUCGCAAGACUGAAACUCAAAGGAAUUGACGGGGGCCCGCACAAGCGGUGGAGCAUGUGGUUUAAUUCGAAGCAACGCGAAGAACCUUACCAGGUCUUGACAUCCUCUGACAAUCCUAGAGAUAGGACGUCCCCUUCGGGGGCAGAGUGACAGGUGGUGCAUGGUUGUCGUCAGCUCGUGUCGUGAGAUGUUGGGUUAAGUCCCGCAACGAGCGCAACCCUUGAUCUUAGUUGCCAGCAUUCAGUUGGGCACUCUAAGGUGACUGCCGGUGACAAACCGGAGGAAGGUGGGGAUGACGUCAAAUCAUCAUGCCCCUUAUGACCUGGGCUACACACGUGCUACAAUGGACAGAACAAAGGGCAGCGAAACCGCGAGGUUAAGCCAAUCCCACAAAUCUGUUCUCAGUUCGGAUCGCAGUCUGCAACUCGACUGCGUGAAGCUGGAAUCGCUAGUAAUCGCGGAUCAGCAUGCCGCGGUGAAUACGUU
rnacentral:rRNA from 1 species